GACGAAACGCAGCGGCGUGCUUAACACAUGCAAGUCGAACGUGAUUUUUGUGGAAAUUCUUUCGGGAAUGGAAGCGAAAUGAAAGUGGCGAACGGGUGAGUAACACGUGAGCAACCUACCUUACACAGAGGGAUAGCCGUUGGAAACGACGAUUAAUACCGCAUGAGACCACAGAAUCGCAUGAUAUAGGGGUCAAAGAUUUAUCGGUGUAAGAAGGGCUCGCGUCUGAUUAGCUAGUUGGAAGGGUAAAGGCCUACCAAGGCGACGAUCAGUAGCCGGUCUGAGAGGAUGAACGGCCACAUUGGAACUGAGACACGGUCCAAACUCCUACGGGAGGCAGCAGUGGGGAAUAUUGCACAAUGGGGGGAACCCUGAUGCAGCGACGCCGCGUGAGCGAAGAAGGUUUUCGAAUCGUAAAGCUCUGUCCUAUGAGAAGAUAAUGACGGUAUCAUAGGAGGAAGCCCCGGCUAAAUACGUGCCAGCAGCCGCGGUAAUACGUAUGGGGCGAGCGUUGUCCGGAAUUAUUGGGCGUAAAGGGUACGUAGGCGGUUUUUUAAGUCAGGUGUGAAAGCGUGAGGCUUAACCUCAUUAAGCACUUGAAACUGGAAGACUUGAGUGAAGGAGAGGAAAGUGGAAUUCCUAGUGUAGCGGUGAAAUGCGUAGAUAUUAGGAGGAAUACCGGUGGCGAAGGCGACUUUCUGGACUUUUACUGACGCUCAGGUACGAAAGCGUGGGGAGCAAACAGG
rnacentral:rRNA from 1 species